AGUGUUUUUCCCUCCACUUAAAUCGAAGGGU
rfam:Citreicella sp. 357 C357_106, whole genome shotgun sequence.